UCCGGUUUGACACCGGCAGUCCCCUUAGAGUCCCCGGCAUAACCCGCUGGUAACUAAGGGCAAAGGUUUCGCUCGUUAAGGGACUUAACCCGACAUCUCACGACACGAGCUGACGACAGCCAUGCAGCACCUGUACCAGUUGUACCCCGGAGGGCCUACUCGACUUUCAUCGAGAUAAUCCUGGCAUGUCAAGCCCAGGUAAGGUUCUGCGCGUUGCUUCGAAUUGAACCACAUGCUCCACCGCUUGUGUGAGCCCCCGUCAAUUUCUUUGAGUUUUAGCCUUGCGACCGUACUUCCCAGGCGGUCCACUUAGCACUUUUGCUUCGACCGCAAACCCUUCAGGGGGACUGCGAUCUAGUGGACAUCGUUUACGGCCAGGACUAC
rnacentral:misc_RNA from 1 species